GUCUGCACAGUCUCUGUAUUUGCAUUGUAGUUAGCUCUCUGUUUACUCAUCUCUGUGGAGUUGAUCAUCUCACCGGCAGUGAUUAGAGCUCACUCAGUGGGCCUAUAUGCAGACCCCCUUGGGUUGACGAUGGCUCGCUUCUGCUCUGGUUUCUUGGAUUCUGAGCUGGGUGAUGAUGCCUAUGUGGGAACCACGGACUUCAGGGCAGCAGGUACCUGAUUAGCCUGAUGAGGGAACAAAUGGGAUUCAGGCUGGAAAGCUAGAAGACCAUCUCCUGUCUUAACUCAGCAAGGACACCAGUUCCCAUAAACAUCAAUGAAGGGAGUUCAGAAGGAGAAGACACAGUUAAAUUCUAUCUACAGCUGUAGAGAAAUGUUUGAAACAUACAUCACCAGUAAAAAGCAAGAUUCCAGAAGGACAGAUAUAACAUUAAAUAAGGAUGAAAUAGACUAUUUUGCAAGGGGAGGAAGGAAUUUCUAUACCCCCAGAGUAUCAAAUCUCUCAGCAGAGAAAGAAAAGUGAUCAACGUAAGGUCACUGAAGAGACAAAAAAGAUUAAAGGUCGAUCUAUACCUGACAUGGUCUCUGCAUGGCACAGAUGGACAAUGUAUUGUCAUUUUAAAGAGUCACAUGCUGAUAGUGGGGAAAUCCUCUGAUCAGAUGCACAGUUGCAGAGCAGCCUCUGAAUCAGCAGCUGUGUCUCAAACCCACUCCAAGGACCAGAGAUGCUGGAGGAGCUCAGGCAGCAUCUAUGGAGACGAAUGAACAGACAAUGUUUCGGGCAGAGAUCUUUCAUCAGGACCCGUUUGACACUGUAGUUCCUGAUGAUAAGGCCAUAAGACCGUAAGAUAUAGGAGCAGAAUUAGGCCAUUUGGCCCAUCGAGUCUGCUCCACCACUUCAUGGCUGAUCCAGUGUUCCUCUCAGCCCCAGUCUCCUACCUUCUCCCCAUAUCCCUUCAUGCCCUGAACAAUCAACAAUCUAUCAAGCUCUGCCUUAAAUGUACAUAAAGUCUUGGCCUCCACAGCUGUCUGAGGCAAAGAAUUCCACAGAUUCACCACUCUCUGGCAAAAGAAAUUCCUCCUCAUCUCUAUUCUAAAAGGACACUCCUCUAUUCUGAGGUAUGUCCUCUGAUUUUAGACUCUCCAACCACAGGAAACAUCCUCUCCACAUCCACUCUAUCAAGGUCUUUCACUACGAUGUACUGUUUUAUGGAAUAUGCCUUUCUUGACAUAGAAUGCUAAACCCUAUUUGUGUCAUCCCAACUGGAUGUAGAGGAAGAGACAAGGACAUUUUUCCAAUGUAAUAUCUAAUAUUAAUCCCUCAAAAACUGUAACUAAGCCAUGUUGGUUUUUGCAUUGUAGAACAAACUUGCUUGUAAUUUCACUUGAAAAUUAGUAGCCUGUAUUUUAUACAACAAGCAGGUGCUAUGUGUUGACUGUAUUGAGUAUGCUGAAAAGCAAAUUGCAGACACCUGUUCUCACUGCUUUGGCACUGUUCAGUUUCUCACUGAUUUAGCAUCGGCUUUCUCAAUUUAUGCGGGAAAUGUAAGUGCAGAACCUAACAUUAAACAGCAGAAAAGACCAUCUUGACCUGUGCUUUUAAAUCAAUUACAGGCUUAUGGACAACUGGAGAAGGCUGGGUGCUGUGGUACUUGCAUUGUCUGAAGCUAGCAGAUACUCU